rnacentral:rRNA from 1 species
CCUACGGGGGGCAGCAGUGAGGAAUCUUCCACAAUGGGCGAAAGCCUGAUGGAGCAACGCCGCGUGAAGGAUGAAGGCCUUCGGGUUGUAAACUUCUUUUAUGAGUGAAGAAUAUGACGGUAACUCAUGAAUAAGCACCGGCUAACUACGUGCCAGCAGCCGCGGUCAUACGUAGGGUGCAAGCAUUAUCCGGAGUGACUGGGCGUAAAGAGUUGCGUAGGCGGUUUAAUAAGUGAAUAGUGAAACCUGGUGGCUCAACCAUACAGACUAUUAUUCAAACUGUUAAACUCGAGAGUGGUAGAGGUAACUGGAAUUUCUAGUGUAGGAGUGAAAUCCGUAGAUAUUAGAAGGAACACCAAUGGCGUAGGCAGGUUACUGGACCAUUUCUGACGCUAAGGCACGAAAGCGUGGGGAGCGAACUGGAUUAGAUACCCGAGUAGUC